UCCUCGUUAGUAUAGUGGUAAGUAUUCUGGCCUGUCAUGCGGGAGACCGUGGUUUGAUUCCCCGACGAGGAG
rfam:Ciona savignyi cont_1362, whole genome shotgun sequence.